rnacentral:rRNA from 1 species
UUGAACGCUGGCGGCAUGCCUUACACAUGCAAGUCGAGCGGCAGCGCGGGGGCAACCCUGGCGGCGAGCGGCGAACGGGUGAGUAAUACAUCGGAACGUACCCAGUUGUGGGGGAUAGCCCGGCGAAAGCCGGAUUAAUACCGCAUAAGUCCUGAGGGUGAAAGCGGGGGAUCGCAAGACCUCGCGCGAUAGGAGCGGCCGAUAUCGGAUUAGCUUGUUGGUGAGGUAAAGGCUCACCAAGGCGACGAUCCGUAGCUGGUCUGAGAGGACGACCAGCCACACUGGGACUGAGACACGGCCCAGACUCCUACGGGAGGCAGCAGUGGGGAAUUUUGGACAAUGGGGGCAACCCUGAUCCAGCCAUUCCGCGUGAGUGAAGAAGGCCUUCGGGUUGUAAAGCUCUUUCAGCAGGAGCGAAACGGUCGUUUUUAAUACAGACGGCUAAUGACGGUACCUGCAGAAGAAGCACCGGCUAACUACGU